UAGAUCGGAUGUGGUUGGAUUUUGCCAUUGAUAUAUUUUCUCGAAUGGAAACUCAACCUUUGUUUGUGUUGGCUAGAAUAAGCUCUAGACUUGGCUAUAUAUAUUGGUAGAUGGGAAGGCUCGGAACAAAAGAUGUGGAUCUCCCUUCAAAUGCAUUAAUAAAGGCACUAGAAGAUUUUUACCCCAUAGC